UGGAAAUAUUCUAAUCUAAAUCAAGAUUGCUUCUCAUGAAAGAGAAAGGAAAGUGCUUCCUUUUUACAAUGAGCUUACUGCAUAACCACAAUAAACAAAACAUUUAUAAGAAAUCACCAUCCUCCAUACAAAGGACAAUAAGUUAGUUAUAGUCAUCCAACUCUGGCUAGGAUCCAAUACAUAGAAGCAGGAAGUCCCAACUAAGACAACAUGUUCCAGAUCCCAUAACAUUUAGAGCUUUUGCAUUGUAUUUUCAUUUUAAGUAUUGACUCUGGAAUGUGCUCCCUUGUAUAUAUGGAAGAAGGAAGUAUUGCCUUUGCAUUAAAUUGCCUAAACUUAACAAACGUCAUUUGUUUGUUCAUUUGUUUGUUUGAAGGUCCCUAACCUAUGCAUUAAGUCGCCCUAAAAUUAACACCAAGAAUUGUGCCAUAAAAAUUACAUAUAACAUGGGAAGUCUUGAUGCAUUUUAUACAUAGGUAUUUUAGUCCUUUUAGAGUACAUCGAAAAAUUUAGAUAUGCAUUCUUCAACUCCCAUGGUUUCUUUGUUGUCAACUGACUAAAUAUAUUUUCAUGCUCUGGAGGAGUAAGGUACUGUUGCUGGAUAAGUUUAACCAUAAUCUUUUCUAGUGCAACUACUUCAUUUAAUUAAUAAAAAAUUCUGAAUUUAUCAAGUCAGAAAUCUAGAAGAGCUUAUUAUACCUCAACCUUAAACCUAUCGAGCAUUGCAUUCUAAGUUUUCAUUAAUCUGUUCUCCAUGUUUUAAAUAUUCCCAGAUCUCAGAAUUGCUGGUCUAUGUGGUAGAAACCUCAUUUUCUUUGAUAUCAUCCCAGUCAAUAAUCCACAUUUCUCCAUCAUUAUCAAGCAUAUUCCUUUAGUAGAAACUUCCAUUUUUGCUAUCUGCAAGUCAUUUUCCAUGACUAAUAUUUCUUUUGCACCAAUCAAUUUGUUGACCUAUUUGGCUUGUUGCAUUCGUCUCAUUAACUUUACUCUAUCUAAAAAUUGUAUCACAUCUGUAAUCACAUUCUAUCAAGGUUUCUAAUAUCCUGGUUCGAAGAGUUUGUCUGUGUUUUGUACAGAAGGGACCUAUAGUGGGAAACCCAUUACUGUAUACCCAGAUGACCUCCUUAGUUUAAAUGGAGCCGAUACCUAUGCUCUGUUCAUGAAUAAAAUUCUCUUUGACCAUUUAUUUUACAGUUUGUCAAGCAUUUUUCCUUUUGCACAGUAGGUCAUAUUGGAAGCAUUUCUAAGAUCAUUUCACAGCACUUUUAUGAGUAUAGCAUGGUUAUCAAUUUAACAAGCAAAUAUUAGUACGUUAUUAAUCCACAUAUCAGUUGAUUUUGUCAUCAUCGACUGUUUCUUCCAACAUAUCAUUUUGUUUGAUCUUUUAAUAAACAGCUUGUGAAGCCUUUUGUCCUUGGGCAAUGGACAUGACUUAAUUGGACCACUUAAUGUGUCCAAUACAGUAAACUACAAAGUGCACCUUCAAUGGAAUCUAGAUAUCAUUCGGUUGCACUUAUCUUGGCAUAUCACCAGAUUAUAUUGCUGUCAUUGACUUCUAGGUAGCAUAGAACCACCUCAUUAGCAAAUUUGAACCACAUUUCAUGCUUCAUCCAUGACAAAUUAUUUUACACCAACAAGCCUUAUCCUCACAUGAAAAAGAAAAGAAGAAAAAUCCACACGAAGAAGAAAAAAUAGAAAAAAAUUAUUCUCAUAUGUUUGAAGUUGGUGUAUCUGGAACUGCCAAAUAGGCAGAAUUAUGAAUGAUGUGAGCCAAGCAAUAGGCAUGGUCAUGCCUUUUUUUUGGUAACUACAGAGCUGGAUACAUAUAUGAUGGAUAUUCAGUGAUACACAUUUUAUCAUGCAAAUAUUGUCAUACUCAGAGCUCAGUAUCAGAAGGGAAAAAAGUGGGGCAUAAGAACUUGAGCAAGGCAUGACCAGAACAUCCUUGAAAUAAUGUGUAUGACAAUUACAAAUAAAUGUUGUUUGCUGAGCUAGCAGAUAACAGUUGGUCUCCAAGUGUUUUAUGCAUAUUAGAAGUUUCCAGGAGCUGAGAAAGACAAACUACAAUGGGUGGUCUAGUUCAAGAAAGAAAAUACAAAUAAUGCAACAACGAAUAUUUGUUCUCGAUGCAAUAUUAUGUUGUGAACAAAAGAAGGAAUGAAAUAAGAGAGAAUUUUGAUCUAAGCCCAAGUCUGUGGUUAGCUACUCUACAAUCUCACUUGUACAUGAUCAGCACAAAUGAUCGAUCAUAUUUCCGAAAAAAAACACCUUAAAACCUUUUUCAUAUUAAAAACUUAAAGCUUGAAAUUUUUCAAACUGUAUUUCAACAGCAUUUGCAUAGGAGGCUGAAUUUUACAAAUUGUAAAUUCAGCAGAAGCAUAUUGAAAAUUCUCUAGCAAGCAUGAGGCUGACAAACUAUGGUUGUUAAGAACUCAAACUGAUAGGUUUCAGUUAACAAGGGAUCAUCGUGGCAAAAUAAGCAGAGAUAAACACACAACAUUUUGCAUCACUAUAAGACAGAAAAGCAUGCUGUCAAAACACAGCCUCAUAGGAUGCCAUACACCUGUUAAGUGAGCAUAGCAUGCUUUAGGCCUGGGCUAACUAUUUGCAGAUGCUUCUAAUAUUUCAAAACAGUUUUUUUUUUUUUGUCAAAGAAGGGCUUAAACAAUUUAGCGGAAAUGGAACACCUAUAAUGAAGCCUUUUAAUAUGCAGUAUCUCAGAGGAUCAUUAACCUAUAUGCAAAUUACCAUUUCAAAUCCAUUAUUGUAUUAUAUAUAAAAAAAUGGUUAAUGAACCACUAACCAAAUGAUGUGAUAUAUUAGGCAUUUUACACCUGAGAAAUACAAACAGACUCAAAAUGUUAGCAAGCACCUUGACAGAUGAUAUAAAUGGCAUCCAUCGUGGAAUGGUUUCACGAUCUGAAUAACAGUCAUAUGCCACUGAACAUGGAACAUCAACUUCAAUCUCAGAGCUGCAUCCACAUGAACAUUCAGUUACCAUAUAAUAACUUUUCUUGAUCAUAUCAUGUUCUAAUUCAAGCUCAUCAAUCCAUCAAUUUUCAAUUGGAGUCACAUGAAAAAAGCUAAUUAUGAUGGAAGCUAGGCUGGAAAAC
rnacentral:lncRNA from 1 species